GAAAUGCGAUAAGUAAUGUGAAUUGCAGAAUUAAGUGAAUCAUCGAAUCUUUGAACGCACCUUGCGCUCCUUGGUAUUCCUUGGAGCAUGCCUGUUUGAGUAUCAUGAAAUCUUCAAAGUAAAUCUUUUGUUAACUCAAUUGGUUUCUACUUUGGUAUUGGAGGUCUUUGCAGCUUCACACCUGCUCCUCUUUGUUCAUUAGCUGGAUCUCAGUGUUAUGCUUGGUUCCACUCGGCGUGAUAAGUUAUCUAUCGCUGAGGACACUGUAAAAGGUGGCCAAGGUAAAUGCAGAUGAACCGCUUCUAAUAGUCCAUUGACUUGGACAAUACUUUUAUGAUCUGAUCUCAAAUCAGGUAGGACUACCCGCUGAACUUAGGC
rnacentral:misc_RNA from 1 species